rnacentral:rRNA from 1 species
ACUCAAAUGAAUUGACGGGGGCCCGCACAAGCGGUGGAGCAUGGGGUUUAAUUCGUCACUAACCGAAGAACCUUACCCAGGCUUGACAUCCCCGGACAUCCCAUGAAAGUGGGCUUUCCCCGCGAGGGGACCGGGAGACAGGUGUUGCAUGGCUGUCGUCAGCUCGUGUCGUGAGAUGUUGGGUUAAGUCCCGCAACGAGCGCAACCCUCACUGUGUGUUGCCAGCGGAAACGCGCACUCACACGGAACUGCCGGGGUAACCCGGAGGAAGGCGGGGAUGACGUCAAGUCGGCAUGGCCCUUACGCCUGGGGCUACACCCAUGCUACAAUGGGACGGACAGAGGGCCGCGAUACCGCGAGGUGGAGCCAAUCCCAAAAACCGUUCCUCAGUUGGGAUCGGGGUCUGCAACUCGACCCCGUGAACGCGGAAUCGCUAGUAAACGCCGGUCAGCCAAACGGCGUUGAAUCCGUUCCCGGGCCUUGUACACACCGCCCGU